GAUGAACGCUGGCGGCGUGCCUAAUACAUGCAAGUCGAGCGAACGGACGAGAAGCUUGCUUUUCUGAUGUUAGCGGCGGACGGGUGAGUAACACGUGGAUAACCUACCUAUAAGACUGGGAUAACUUCGGGAAACCGGAGCUAAUACCGGAUAAUAUUUUGAACCGCAUGGUUCAAAAGUGAAAGACGGUCUUGCUGUCACUUAUAGAUGGAUCCGCGCUGCAUUAGCUAGUUGGUAAGGUAACGGCUUACCAAGGCAACGAUGCAUAGCCGACCUGAGAGGGUGAUCGGCCACACUGGAACUGAGACACGGUCCAGACUCCUACGGGAGGCAGCAGUAGGGAACCUUCCGCAAAGGGCGAAAGCCUGACGGAGCAACGCCGCGUGAGUGAUGAAGGUCUUCGGAUCGUAAAACUCUGUUAUUAGGGAAGAACAUAUGUGUAAGUAACUGUGCACAUCUUGACGGUACCUAAUCAGAAAGCCACGGCUAACUACGUG
rnacentral:rRNA from 1 species